CCGGUGGUGUGCUUCUGUCAUUUCCCCUUAAGGCCACUGGGUGGCGCUAAAGGAGCCGGGAUUGCCGCAUCAGCUUCCUCACUGCUGGGAUUGCAGGUGCGCCCCGGAGUCCACGUUAGCAUGAAGUGUGAACAUGGGUCCGACAUGCAGGAGACUCAUUGCUGCUCCUGAGGCACCAGCUAGGGCAGCUGCAGUGGGGCAAGAAGACCGUCUUCCAAGAUUCAGAGUCAGGAGAUUCCUGCUCACGCAACAAAAGCAAAAUCAUCCCGCUCCCCAGUGGAUUUGCUGAAAACUGGAGACAAAAUCAUAAACAAUUUCAAAAGAAUAUGAGAAGGAGAAGCCAAGCCGGCCCUGUUAGGAUUCCCACAGACAUGGA